UAUCAGACCAAGUGAAGGAACAUCUUCUCUGUGCUGAAGCUCUGAGAUGAGUGCAGAGUUUCCGGACCACAACGGAGAAGUUCCUUCACUCCAUUCAUGCCUUCUUCAUACCGUACUCACUGUAUACUCAUAGUAUUGUAUGCCAUGAAAUUUUUUUAUAAAAAAGUAAGUAAUAGUAGUAGUAUGUAUUAUGUCAAAAUAUCGCUGAAAAAGUCACACAGAAUGUCAAAAAGUGUUAUUACAUAGUUAUUACAGUGUAAUAACACUGUUAUAACUUGUAUUAUGUCAAAAAGCUGUCAAAAAGUCGUACAGAAUGUUAAAAAGUGUUAUUACAUUGUAAUAACACUGUUAUAACAUGUUAUGUCAGAAAAUCUGUCA